rnacentral:rRNA from 1 species
GUGCCAGCCGCCGCGGUACUACCGGCAGCUCGAGUGAUGUCCAAUAUUAUUGGGCCUAAAGCGUCCGUAGCUGGCCGCGCAAGUCCGUCGGGAAAUCCACCUGCCCAACAGGUGGGCGUCCGGCGGAAACUGUGUGGCUUGGAACCGGAAGGCUCAGAGGGUACGUCUGGGGUAGGAGUGAAAUCCCGUAAUCUCGGACGGACCACCGAUGGCGAAAGCACUCUGAGAAGACGGCUUCGACAGUGAGGGACGAAAGCUAGGGUCUCAAACCGGAUUAGAUACCCGUGUAGUCC